AGAAUCUCCCGAAAUCCAAGCAUAGAAGAAGUUGAAGUGAUUAUAACUCCCUAACAUGAUUAUCUUCCAAACAUAAGCCAAGACUUCAUGAAGGGGUAAAGCAUUGUGUUUAAUGGAAGCCACAGCUGGCCUUUUAUGCAGAUCCCCGUGCAAGGGGCACUCCCCCCCGGACCUGAGUGGGGACAGUAGCACAAAAUAAUCACCCAAUGUAAUUGACUCCCAGGUCCAGGACACUCCCACAUAAAC